rnacentral:snRNA from 1 species
GUGCUUGCUUCUGCAGCACAUAUACUAAAAUUGGAAUGAUACAGAGAAGAUUAGCAUGGGCCCUGCACAUGGAUGACACGCAAAUUCAUAAAGUGUUCCAUAUUUUU